rnacentral:rRNA from 1 species
UACGGAGGGUGCAAGCGUUAAUCGGAAUUACUGGGCGUAAAGCGCACGCAGGUGGCUGAGUCAGUCGAUUGUGAAAGCCCUGGGCUUAACCUGGGAAUUGCAGUCGAUACUACUCAGCUAGAGUAUGGGAGAGGGUAGUGGAAUUCCCGGUGUAGCGGUGAAAUGCGUAGAGAUGUGGAGGAAUACCGAUGGCGAAGGCAGCCUCCUGGGCCAACACUGACGCUCAGGCACGAAAGCUAGGGGAGCGAACAGG